rnacentral:rRNA from 1 species
UACGUAGGGGGCGAGCGUUGUCCGGAUUUAUUGGGCGUAAAGAGCUCGUAGGCGGUUCGAUACGUCGGACGUGAAAUCUCCACGCUCAACGUGGAGGGGCCGUUCGAUACUGUCGUGACUCGAGUCCGGUAGGGGAGUGUGGAAUUCCCGGUGUAGCGGUGAAAUGCGCAGAGAGCGGGAGGAACACCCGUAGCGAAGGCGGCACUCUGGGCCGGUACUGACGCUGAGGAGCGAAAGCGUGGGGAGCAAACAGG